rnacentral:misc_RNA from 1 species
GAUGAAGAACGUAGCGAAAUGCGAUAAGUAAUGUGAAUUGCAGAAUUCAGUGAAUCAUCGAAUCUUUGAACGCACCUUGCACCCUUUGGCAUUCCGAAGGGUAUGCUCGUUUGAGUGUCAUUGUACUCUCACUCUCCCGAUGCUUUUGGAUCGGGAGUGGUGGACUUGGGUGUUGCUGCUUUGCUGUGGCUCGCCUCAAAUGGAGUAGUGCAACUCUUGGUUGGACAUAGUACGGCGUGAUAAGUGUCUUCGCCGGCGCCUCAUUAUAGAGGGUGGCCGAUCGGGAGCUCUGUGCUUCAAACCGUCUUCGGACAACAUCUGACAACUUGACCUCAAAUCGAGUAGGACUACCCGCUGAACUUAAGCAUAUCAAUUAAGCGGAGGA